rnacentral:pre_miRNA from 1 species
AUAAAGAUAAACCCUGAUUUCCGUGUCCAACAUUUGACUAUCCGUCUUAUUUGAAAAAAUUAUGAAAAAAAUUAAAAAGACAAGUCACGCAUAAAAUAUUAAUCAUGUUUUAUCAUCUAACAACAAUGAAAAUACGAAUUAUAAAAAAAUUUCAUAUAAGAUGGAUAGUCAAAGUUAGACACGAAAACCCAGGGUUUGCCUUUUU